rnacentral:misc_RNA from 1 species
AAGUCGUAACAAGGUUUCCGUAGGUGAACCUGCGGAAGGAUCAUUAAAAGUAAUAAGUGCUCCCGGCGCAUAUUAUGUAACCCAUCUGUGUAUCUUACCUGUUGCUUCCGUGGGUCGUUGGCUUCGGCCACUCCCCAAAUGCGGGGAACUCACGGGAGGUCUACAUCAAACCAUUGCUCUCAAUGAUAUCUGUCUGAAUUGUCUCAAUGAGAAAAGUUAAAACUUUCAACAACGGAUCUCUUGGUUCUC